rnacentral:rRNA from 1 species
GUCCACGCCGUAAAACGAUGAGUACUAGUUGUCGGGGGUAUCGACCCCCUCGGUAACGAAGCUAACGCGAUAAGUACUCCGCCUGGGGACUACGACCGCAAGGUUAAAACUCAAAGGAAUUGACGGGGGCCCGCACAAGCAGCGGAGCGUGCGGUUUAAUUCGAAGCAACGCGAAGAACCUUACCAGGGCUUGACAUGGCGGGGACAGCCGGUGAAAGUCGGUCUCCCUUCGGGGGUCCCGUCACAGAUGCUGCAUGGCCGUCGU